rnacentral:lncRNA from 1 species
ACAUUAAAUAGGCUAUAAUGUCAUUUCAAAGCCAUUAUAAAUUGUGUUUUACUGGCUCACUAAGAAUAGAAGAAGACUCUUAUAAGGCCAUUAUCUGCACAUGGAACAACCGAUGCUCUUUCUUUGUUUAAGUAUAAGCCUAUAAAAUUCUUUUAUUACAGCUACUUGGCAAUAUCUAAGGCUGUUUGGAUCAUAACAUUAAUGAACCAACAGUAAAACUUUACAAACCUCUCAUAUUAGAUACACAACACUAUCACUUUACAAACCUCUCAUAUUACAAAUCCCUUAUGGAAGCCUAAACCUGUCAUUGCUUCAUUUUCAUUGCGCACAACAGUGCAUUUAAAAACACUGAAGAGGAAGAGGAAGAAUUUGCAGCUAACUUGGCCUUUAAAUGAUCUGGUCACACUCUGGUUUGCUGUAGGGGAAUUCAACUGUGAGCUAAUUUAACAUAGUCUACAGCCUUACCACUUUCAAUCUCUUAAGGAUGCUAUCAAAUUGUGCCGUAUCAAAUGCCCAAGGGUUUGUCUUUUCCAAACCAACACCUAUUAAAAACCAGAGCAGAACAUAGUUACAAAUCCAAAAACUCAAUAACCAUCAUCUCACAUUUUAUUGCUAACAUUGUUCCAAAUCGAAUAAUUCAUCUCAACUACUAGAAUUAGUAAUUUUUAUAUCCAUUUCUUAAAAAAAUCAGCAAUUGAUCGUAGAACAAAUAUUUCUGAAUUUUAAUAAAUAAACCGAAAAACAAAAAAGGGUAAUAAUAAAAUUACCAGAAGUAUCCUGUUUGUUCUUAGGGUCAUGACCUUUAAUCCCUUGCUUCUCUUUCCCAAGACCUUCGCCUCAAAUUAUAUUCCUACCUCAAUUUGAAAGCUUCGGGUUGAAAUUACUCCGAUAAACAACAAGUGAUAAUUCAAGGGUUUAUAUAUGUAUGUAUGUAUACAGACAGAUAUAUAAAGCUAACCAUUUGUUUCAUGAGGCGGAAGGUGGCGGACUUUUUAGCAAUUCAAAAUAAAAAAAAUCCAGAGUUAUAAAAAUACAAAAUAGUAUUGGUAACCAGUAUGACAUAUUUAUGUUUGAUGAAGGGAUGCUUCAUAAUGUUUCUUAAAAGAAAACAUUUUCUUUUUUACCAUGGAAUGAGAUAAGAACCAUGAGGACUACAAAGACAGCAGAUGUCUUCUUCAUCUUCAACAAAUAUGGAAUAUAUAUUAAGGCUAUGUUUUAUGUUUGGGAUAAAUAAACAAAGAGUGUCUAUAUACUUAGUUUGUAAGAUGUGGCAAUAUAAGCGUGAAAACUGUGAAAAUUUAGAUUCAAAGUUUGGUUACUGCAUAUAUAUAUUCUCAAAACUUGCAAAUUUAAAUGCUUUUAUUGUGAGAAAAGAAGCUGAAAACACCAUAAGUAAAUGAUUCACUAAAUGUGCUUAAAAAUUAAUAGCACUCUUUAUUAUACAAAGAUGGAUUGUCUAAACAUUAACUGAACCGUUGAAAAUGUAGCUAUAACUAGCAUCCCAUUAACAGCUUUUAGUAAUAACAUUAUGCAGUAGUAUAUAACAACCAAAAUGCAUUUCUUAUUUUUUUUUCUUUUCUUUUUCUUGAAAAGUAAACAAAUACUAAUAGAACAAGUACAGAAUACAGAGCAAGUGUUAUGCGUUCUGGAAAUGUAAACAUGUGGACCAUGUUCUUUAAAAGGGAAUUUCAAUUGAUUCCACAAGUACAGUAAAAAUAAAAUUUAGCUUUAACAAUUCAAAAUAUAGAACCUAACUCUACAGAACAAAAACAUAAUAAUUUUGCAGAUUAUAGGGUUUGGCCCCUCAUAAAUUUUAAUUCCUAAAAAUUAUUAUUGAACACCAAAUCACAAAUUGGAACAAAUCUAAGCUUGAUUUCAACCCAUAAAACAAGAAAAUUGUCACCCAAAGUUCUAAUUUUGUUACCUUGCCACUGAAUCGACGAGAAAGGGAGAAGGGGCCGUUGGAUGCGAAGGCGUCUGUUCCUCGCGAAGAGAGAGGGAGAAGGCGGAGAUAUAUAUCGCGAAGAGAGAGGGAGAAAGCAGAGAUUCGUGAGGCUUACACUCAUCGCCCAAAGUUUUAAAAUGAA